GACAGAGGGGGCAAGCGUUGUCCGGAGUUACUGGGCGUAAAGGGCGCGGAGGCGGCCUGUGGCGUCGGCGCUGAAAGCGCCCCGCUUAACGGUGCGAGGAGUGCCGAUACGCGGUGGCUAGAGGCGAGCAGAGGGUGGUGGAAUUCCGGGUGGAGCGGUGAAAUGCGUAGAGAUCCGGAGGAACGCCAGUGGGGAAGCCGGCCACCUGGGCUUGGCCUGACGCUGCGGCGCGACAGCGUGGGGAGCAAAUCGG
rnacentral:rRNA from 1 species